GACGAACGCUGGCGGCGUGCUUAACACAUGCAAGUCGAACGGAAAGGCCCUGCUUUUGUGUGGUGCUCGAGUGGCGAACGGGUGUGUAACACGUGAGUAACCUUCCCUUUACUUUGGGAUAACUUCAGGAAACUGGGGCUACUACCUGAUAGGAGCUCCUGCUGCAUGGUGGGGGUCGGAAAGUUUCGGCGGUGGGGGCUGGACUCGCGGCUUAUCAGCUUGUUGGUGGGGUAGUGGCUUACCAAGGCUUUGACGGGUAGCCGGCCUGAGAGGGUGACCGGCGACCUUGGGCCUGAGAUACGGACCAGACGCCUACGGGAGGCAGCAGUGGGGAAUAUUGCCCAGUGGGCGGACGCCUGAUGCAGCAACGCCGCGUGCGGGAUGACCGCCUUCGGGUUGUAAACCGCUGUCGCCUGUGACGAAGCGUGAGUGACGGUAAUGGGUAAAGAAGCACCGGCUAACUACGUG
rnacentral:rRNA from 1 species